rnacentral:rRNA from 1 species
UACAGAGGUCUCAAGCGUUGUUCGGAUUCAUUGGGCGUAAAGGGUGCGUAGGCGGCACGGUAAGUCGGGUGUGAAAUCUUGGAGCUUAACUCCGAAACUGCAUUCGAUACUGCCGUGCUUGAGGACUGGAGAGGAGACUGGAAUUUUCGGUGUAGCGGUGAAAUGCGUAGAUAUCGUAAGGAAGACCAGUGGCGAAGGCGGGUCUCUGGACAGUUCCUGACGCUGAGGCACGAAGGUCAGGGGAGCAAACGGG